rnacentral:misc_RNA from 1 species
GGGCGCUGCGCUCACCAACGAACGAGCGCCGUUCCCGCGUUUGAGAGCGGCGGCCGAGAAAUGAGAGACGUGGCGCGCAAGCCCCUCGCUCCGCUUUUUCGCCCUCGCACGCCCAAAGCCUGCUUUUUUUUUCCAGUUUCCAGGGAGCGCUGUAUGCCCCGUUUGCACUCCAAUGCGUGACGGGCAUCUUGCACCGACGGCGACCGCGAGUCUUGCCGCGCAGUUCAGCGUGUACUGCCUAGAGAAGCCAAGGCAGGAUGUGAGCGACGACGACGCAGCAGUGCCCGCGCGCGAAUCGGCACCGACCUCGUUACCAUCAAAGGCGGAUCUUGCAGCACCCCUUUCCUACCUCGAUGUGGUGCAGCAGCUCGACGGAGACGAUGAGUGGUCCUUCGCACCCUAUCCUCGGUGCAGUCGUGCGCAGCUGCUGCAGGUGCACGCUUACUGGGUGGCCAUUCGGAGUUCGGCAGCACCAGAGACGUGGAAACCAAGCUGGCCGAAGGCCAGCGACGGUGCGUCUGAGGUGCAAAAAAGCGAGGAGAGUGCUUCGAUCAGAAGUGCGGAAGAGGCGACUACAACACCAAGGUGCUUGUGCGACAGAGAUGACGGGUGCUCGGCGGGCUCGUGUCCGAGUGCCGACGCGCUACAGCUUGCCUGUGUUGUUGGCAUCGUGUGGGUGCGUCUAUCAGCGAGAACCCCUUCCACUUACUCUUUGGUGAAUCGCCGAACACCGCACAACGGCCAAGUCAGCGCUGGCAGCGCGAUCGCGGACUCGCCAAGUGUCAGCCUGUGCCGCCCUUCUGUGGAGGGUUACAUUCAAGUUGUCGUGACCCACCCACACUACCGGCGUCGCGGGCUUGCUUCAUGGCUGCUCACGCAAUGCUUGGCGUGCACAGAGGCACCAGCGGGUGUGUUCGCUUCUGACCGGCGUGAUGGUGUGGCAUAUGCGAUCGAGCGCUGGCACCUGCACACGUUGGCUGCGACGCGGCGGGCGGCAAAGCGUUCUCGCGGCGACGAAGAGACGUGGACGUGCCAGCAGGAUCACCCACGACCCGAUCAGCACCAUCAAGAUGCCAAUCACCGGAGGUCGGAGGGAGAAGGCAGCGAGGCAGUGGUAGCUGCCACGCUUGCCAUGUACCGUCGACUGGGAUUCCACGAGCGGCGCUACCUUGCGCGGUACUACGCCGGUAAAAACGACGCUGUGGAGUUGAUGAAGAUGUGCUUGUGACUUUUCCUGCUGUUCGCAACAACUAGUGUGCCGACAUGUCGGGAGGCUCGGCAGGAGGGGGAGAGGGGGGAGGUGGCACACGUGAUGCAUGUGCGGCUUUCGCUCUGCACCAACGUACUUGUCGAUCGCCCAUGGCGGCAUGAGCACUUCGUGGAUGGUCCAACGACUGACGGAGUUGAGAGAGCGAAGUGCGGUGCCUCGAGCCAUAGGCAGGGUUUCUGCUCGUGGGGGUGUCUCUGCUCUCAUGCUGCCUUGGCGGGCAUUGGCUGACCUCACGGCUGCUCUGCUCACGCGCGGUCGUCUGUGUGUGGGUACGCGUGCACAUUGUCACGAACCUGUGAACUAAUCAGGGCCACCGUUUGCGUUGCGGACGAGAAGUAAUCGAAGGACGAACG